rnacentral:rRNA from 1 species
UACGUAGGGGGCAAGCGUUGUCCGGAUUUAUUGGGCGUAAAGAGCGUGUAGGCGGCCAGGUAGGUCAGCUGUGAAAACUCGAGGCUCAACCUCGAGACGCCGGUUGAAACCAUCUGGCUAGAGUCCGGAAGAGGAGAGUGGAAUUCCUGGUGUAGCGGUGAAAUGCGCAGAUAUCAGGAGGAACACCCGUAGCGAAGGCGGCACUCUGGGCCGAUACUGACACUGAGGAGCGAAAGCGUGGGGAGCGAACAGG